CCUGUGAUCUUCACACAGGGCACAAUACACAACCUACUCACCUACCAGAACAACCAAAGUGACUGAGACAAUUGUUACCAGUGAUAAAGAUGCGGAGGACAAACUUUACGACACGCUCAUCCCGUCGUCUAUCAAGAAUGAUUACUCACCCACAGACAGCAAAAGAACCUACUCCACUACUGAGAUCGUGACGGUGAAAAGCAGCCCUGACACUGAUGCGGAGGACAAACUUUACGACACGCUCAUCCCGUCGUCUAUCAAGAAUGAUUACUCACCCACAGACAGCAAAACGACUGUCUCCAGCUCUGAGACUGUGACGGUGAAGAGCAGCCCUGAUGA